CAGUGCGACUAAAACCCAGACACCAAAAGUUUGAACAUUAUAGCAGGGGAUCGCACUGGACUCAGUCACGUCCCAUGAGAACAAAUCACGAUUUUUGUGCCCUUGUGCAAAUAAUACAUAGAUCCACACCUAAGGUUUAAUAAUGUAGGAUUCAAUGUGUGCUAUUUAAAAGCUCGCUCAAGAGGGUUUCUCCAAGAACAUUUCUUGGGGUGGAUGAUAAACACAGUUGGUUCCCCAGGCCUUUUAUUAGAAACCUCUAGAUAUUUUUAGGGCAGCUAGGUGAUAGUGACUAUUUUGUAUUUAAAGAAAUGCAUAUCUUAGGGCAGUUCUGACAGGGUUUGCUAAUAAUUAUGCAAAUUUAAGAUAGUAGCUAAUCUUUGCCACUAUAGCAAAAGUAAAAAGCUGUCCUGAUGUAAUUAUGCUGCACUGCAAUCAGCCAGGUAUCAGUGUUUACUGUAAUAGCUGUGUGUGUUCAUUUUGUCCUGGUGUUAGCAUCAAGGCACAUCCCAUGCACAUGCAAAGGUCUUCAUGGAAACACCAUUUUUGGGGGGGAUUUUUCAGUUUUUAGUUUAGUUGUUAAGAUUUUUGUUAAAUUUCCAUUUGCUGCUAAGAGGCUAUUUUCUGUCAUGGUUUUCUCUGGUGACUUUUCCCAUCUGUCCCUUUCUACAUCCCAAUCACUUGACAGAUUUUGGUUUUCUUUUGAAGAUACUAAAAACUCAAAACAUUACCCAAACUGCAACACAUGUAUCUUUUACACAGAACUGCAGUGGAUCUGCAGAUACAAUCUGUAGACAGGUUGUUUAAACAUUUGGCAAAUGAUCUUUUAAUUCAUAUCAUUAAUUCUCAAAGUUGUUAACUUGAUGAAACAGCCUCAUAUACAUAAUAAAGUCUCACUUCACUUUAUCAAAAUACCAAAAGCAGUAUUUCCAGCCCAAUAGGGCAGGUGUUUUCUUUAUGAAGUUACUGCAGCUGUAAGUAUUGUACCACAGCUGACCUCUCAAAGACUUCACAGGUCCCAAAGGGAGUAGGAUAUAUUUUUUUACUUUUUAAAAUUUAAGUUUCUAAUAAACAUUCUGCUUCCACGUCAUUUUGGAGACAGUGACUCAGACAGAUGGUUAUUAUAGAAAAUUACAUACUAAAAUGGAAGGUAAAAAUACAGUGCAUGAUACCAGUCCAUGAAUGUUUCUCUCUUACUCUUCAAUUUCUGGAAAUAAUCAUUUCCAUAACAGCCAGCCAUGGGUGCAGAGUUGGAUAUUCCCUUUAUUUAAUGCAAAUUGUGCAUCAUCACAUAUCCUUUCAGGGUACCUGCAGUUACAAAUUACUUCAGAUCUUAAAAUCAUGUUUUGAAGCUGUUAAAAUUACUGAAAAAAUGCACUGUUAAAAAUAAACAAAAAAUUUCAUUAAAGAUCAACUUCACAGAACAUUUUAGUACCUAUUUACUAUUUUUGUAUUAGCAGUAACAGUUGAAAGGCCACUUUAGAUUAGAUCUAGAAAAGUCAUUAAAUGUUUCAAAAUGUAUCAUUACUUUAAAAUGUAUUGGAGAGGUCUUCCUCACUUGUGAAUCUAUGCUAUGAAUUCUGCAAUUAGCAAUGCUUUUUGACAAUAUACCAGACAGUGUAAAUGAACAUUAAAAUUGACAGUUGACAUAAUUUUAUAGAUAUUUAAAGAUUAUACAAGACACAAACAUCCCUCCAUCACAAUAAGAUAUUUAUUUCAUAAUUUUUUCAAAGUGCUUUGAAAAUGCUUGUCAAAGGUGACACAUUUUGCAUUCCUAAGUGGUUGAGGUCUUCCACUGGAAAAUGUCAGCCUUAGGUUGAUUAAUUUAUACAUUGUUGUUAGAUUCCAUUUUCAUAUUAAUUAACUAGUUGAACUUGAUGAUCUUACUCUGUUUGACAGCCUCAAUUUGGCCAACAUGGCAACUGCUUUGGUAAAAAAACCAAUAUUGAAACAAUUAAUUUUGAGUUUUUCUGUUAGUUAAGGGUUCUUAUGUCCAACUAACCCAUGUCCAACUAACCAUCACUACAGGAAGAAUUCCUUGUAAGGACAGAAUCAAAUGAAGUGCCAAGGAUAUCAUUGUCCACCCACUCCUAGGGUAAGUACCUCAACCAGACAAUGUAAACAUCUCCAUGUUUCAUGGUCUUUCUAUGAGAUUUCAGCUUGAUAUGGUAAUAAUGAAAGCAACAGAAUUCAGAAUGAAAUUUGGGUGCAUUAAUUGCAGAAUAAGCAUGAUAGCAACAGAGUUUUUGCAGAACUGCAAAACUGUAAGGUUAGCUUUUAAAAAGCAUGCAGUUAGUUCUUUUCCCAGCUUUUUAAGUUUCCUUCUAGGUUUGUCUCAUCAUAAGGAAUGGGAUUCAUUCUGCAGCCUGUUCACCUCCUCCCACCUAGGAGUGACUUGAGGGCUGCAGAGAGGAAGUAAAAAAAGAUACUUUGCAUCAUUUAAUUAUGAGCUCUUUAGCUGCCUGAGUAAUGUUGAUGGAAUCCAGAAAAAUGUGUCUUGUCUGCCUUAGGCAGCAUAAAAUGGGAACAUGCUUCAGCUCAGAGGGGAAAAAAGGCACAUGGAGAGAUUGGAACAGGGAAUUCGCACUUGACAAAUGGCACAAGCGUGAGAAAAUUUACUGGCAAAAUACUAACACUCCAUCUUCUGAGAAGCUUGACAUUAUCAGAGAAGAAGGUUUUGCUGUUUUAAAAAAUCCACCAAACAGACAAAAAACAAAAAAGAAGAGCCUAAUUCUCUUCCAAGAUAAUCAGGCUGCAGUUACUUGAAUAAUUGUUGUUCUUCCCAGAAGUUGUAAAAUGGUGCAAAUGUCCCUCCACUGAAAGGAGCCAAUCACAGUUCUCUUAUUCCCCAGCUUCCAUCCCUGAAAUUCCACUGUUUUUCUGGAUGUUACUCCCCUCUUAUGGCAGUGACAAAGAGUAAGCCCAUGUAUGUAAGCCCUGUCCCAAACCUUUGGUAAGUCAGAACAACAGCUUGUGAAGGCUGCCUGCCUUAAAGUGAAGGACUACACAGUUGAUAGGGGCUGAUUCUGUUCCCACUGAAGUCUAAGGGAGUUAAGUUUAUGAACAGGAACCUUCUCUCAGUUGUAGCUGUCUUCAGAUCCUGUAGUUGUCUAGCUCCCUUGGCUAUUCUGUAAGUCUAUAGCUCCAGAAGGGGAAAUUCUCUUGUCCUGUAGCACACACCCAGACAAGUAAGGGGGUCUGACCCCAUCAAAUUUUAAGUUUAUAAGAACAUGAUCCAGUUUUCUGUACUGACUAAUUUGCAGCCCUAAACUGUCUUUUGCAAGGCUGGGGUUUUGUGUGUGUUGACGCUUUUUUGACUUCCACCUUAGGAACAGUCAGAAAAAAAAGUAUGAACUGUGAGAUAGGAGCACAACUUAGAUACAAGGAAUAAAAUGCAUCAGCUGACUUAGCACUGGGCAACCCCACAUCAGUGAGUCAGGAAAACUGCUGCUUACUGGCUAAAAAGUAAUACAAGCCUCUUUCUGCCAUUAAGAUAGGGAGCACAAUCUUCAGGUGGAACAAGUGUUGACUUAAAGAUCUCUGUUCUCUAGCACUACCUUGUUUGUGGUCAUUGGGAGUGGGGCUGUGCAUGAGCCUCCUCCCCAGUGGGCACAGCUGUGAGCAGCAGGUGAGCAGCACUGACAGCACUGAGCCAUGGAGUGCCCAGGGGCACUGACCAACCCCAAAGGGAGCACAGGGCACACAGGUGCAGGGCAUCAACAUGAGGGGAUAAAAGGUGGGGCUGAAGAACAAGAAGGGCAGAUGCUUGCAGCCUUCUGAAGUGGUGUGGUGUUACUCUGUGUGGGGAGGGUCCUGAAGCCUUCUGAUAUGAAUCACAGAGAAUUCAAGAAAUGCCAACAUAUUAAUUCUGAAAAUUAAAUCAGCAACAACAACAAAGCCAGACCCUAAAUCUGUAGCAGUAUUUCAGUACUCAAAAGCUGCACUUCAUCCAUGGGAACUUCAAUGAACUUGUGCAGACUGAAUACCACAUCAAUAUUCCCAGCACCAGCUCAGGAACUUCACAACUCUUCUAUUGUUUAAUUUAUGAAUAUUGCAGCUCAAGCUUGCUCGAGUUCCACAAGGACUCCAUGGCAAUCUUUAGGGUGAAGAAAAAUCACAGGUUUGCCAUGUGCACCUAUUUUUGGCUCUUCACUCAAUAUUCGUAUCUUUUUUUUCUUCAGCUCUGUCAUAGCUGCUUUUAUGUCAUCAACCUUUUAAAAAAGAUACAGUUCACACAAAUUAACAUCUUGCACUGUAUUAUGCAGAUUUCACAUUUAGGAGCAACAACAAUUCCUUACUGAAAUGUUAUUUCUAAGUUCUAAUAUAAUUCUGAAAAUAAAUUAAGUUGUAAACCAUUUAAAAACUGAAGUAUUUUUAUUUUAAUACUACAUGGAGUUUGCAUUUGUUAUUUGAAUAUUUUAUAAAACACCAUUUAAAUGGAUUGUGCAAUUUUUAAGAAAUUCAUAAACUGAAAUCACUCAUGUAGAAAGACCAUUGAUCUUUUUGUUGUUACUUUAUAAGGACUCUAUAAAUAAUCUAAAUUCUGCAUUACUUUCUGCUCUCAAUAACUAAAGAAUAAUAUCUCCCUUUAUAAAUGAUGACAGAGCACUGACUCAUUAAAUGGUGAAAAAGGGAGGGCAGUGGGCACAAGGUAAAAGUCCCUUUUAGAUUUAUGUAUUCUCCUUCUGAGUAGGUUAAGGUUCAUUAUGUUUCCUAAGGAAAAAAGCUUGGAAUAAUCAAAAAUAUAUCCAGAUGUGGUCUUUGUAUUGAACUUUACUAUAAUAACAGCCAUUAAUACAGUAUUUCAGUACAGUUCCCUACAGAUAUAUGUAAUUAACAAAAAUAUGCCUAUACUGUAUGCUGUGAUCUGAAGUUCUGAUGGCAUGUCAUCUAAUGAAAUUUUAAUUUUCCUAAAACUUAAAUGCAUUCAUUUUUUGAAAUAAUAAUAUUAGCACUCAGUUUAGAAAAUUCAAUAUUCAAUAAAGACCUAGAAUUAAAAUAAUAUCAUUGGUGUUUUUCAAGACUGAGGUGUCUGGACAUAAUUUAGUGAAUAAACUCUUCUCCCAAUGCCAUAGCAGGGAAGAAGGAAAUUCCUAGCUUCAAUUCAGAGGAACAGACAUCACCUAAUUCCUACCCAUUUGCAGCAGUUUUGUUCAUGAAUAUCCCAAACUCGCUACAGUUCUUUCUACACACAACUACCAGUCUGCAAAACAAAAAGGAAUGACUGUCAAAUUAUCUAAACUAGAAAGGCCACAUGUGACAUGUGCCAUGGCCCCCUCCAGAUUCUGUCCCCAAGCAGAAAAGCCACAGCAGCUGCUGCUCCUGUCCUGCAGAGAUGGCCUGAAGAGCAGUCUGGGCUCAGCUGGAAUGAAUUCCCAAGGAUGAGUGACAGUAAACAGUGCAAAGCCUUUGGGUGCAUCCAUGUUAGAAGAGUACCAGGCUUGGAUUGCUCUCUUACUCUGUUGUCUCCAGCUUGGUGCUCACUGCAGGCAUUAAAUUGUAACUGGUCAGGAAUAAUUUAAUUUCCUCUUAAACUAGUUACCUUUUUUGAAACAAGUUGCCUAUCAAAACAUCUGUUUUGUAUAAGAGACAAGAAAUACAACAGCCUUGUAUGUUAGCUCUUAACAUAGGUCAAACCUAUUAAAACAUGCAUACUUGAAUGUAUCUCUUAUUACAAAAAAUAUUAUGUUAAAAUACCUCAAUGCAGAUAUGAUGCAUUCCUCCAGUCUUGUUUUUUUGCAGGAAGCUUGCAAUGGGACUUUUCUCUCCUAAAGGAUGUAGAAGUUCCAGCUUGGUGUUUCCCAGCUCCACAAAAACAGUGUAGACACCAUGCUCAGGAAGAGCAACAGUCUCACUCACCUGGGCUCCUAACACAUCUUUGUACAAGGACUGAGCUUUCUCCAAGUCAGGCACUGCAAUUGCCACGUGAUUAAGUCGGCCCAGUUUCCACAAACAGCUUGGAAUGUUUUGUGAGAAGGACUUUGAUGACGACAGAGUUCGUACUGUGGGAGCAGAAGU